rnacentral:rRNA from 1 species
UCGACGAGACCUUCGGGUCUAGUGGCGCACGGGUGCGUAACGCGUGGGAAUCUGCCCUUGGGUUCGGAAUAACAGUUAGAAAUGACUGCUAAUACCGGAUGAUGUCUUCGGACCAAAGAUUUAUCGCCCAAGGAUGAGCCCGCGUAGGAUUAGCUUGUUGGUGAGGUAAAAGCUCACCAAGGCGACGAUCCUUAGCUGGUCUGAGAGGAUGAUCAGCCACACUGGGACUGAGACACGGCCCAGACUCCUACGGGAGGCAGCAGUGGGGAAUAUUGGACAAUGGGCGAAAGCCUGAUCCAGCAAUGCCGCGUGAGUGAUGAAGGCCUUAGGGUUGUAAAGCUCUUUUACCCGGGAUGAUAAUGACAGUACCGGGAGAGUAAGCCCCGGCUAACUCCGUGCCAGCAGCCGCGGUAAUACGGAGGGGGCUAGCGUUGUUCGGAAUUACUGGGCGUAAAGCGCGCGUAGGCGGCUUUGUAAGUUAGAGGUGAAAGCCCGGAGCUCAACUCCGGAACUGCCUUUAAGACUGCAUCGCUAGAAUUGUGGAGAGGUAAGUGGAAUUCCGAGUGUAGAGGUGAAAUUCGUAGAUAUUCGGAAGAACACCAGUGGCGAAGGCGACU